GCUGGGUUCCUUUCCCAGCAGUGUGGAAGCUUUGUUCUUUUGCUCUUUGCGCUAAAUCUUGCUGCUGCUCACUCUGGUCUUUGGGUCAGUACUGCCUUUAUGAGCUGUAAUACUUACUGCUAAGGUCUGUAGCUUCACUUCUGAGCCAGCAAGACCAUGAACCCACCAGAAGGAGGAAACUCGGAACACAUCCAAACAUCAGAAGGAACAAACUCCAGACGCACUGCCUGUAAGAACUGUAACACUCACUGCGAGGGUCUGUGGCUUCAUUCUUGAAGUCAGUGAGACCAUAGAACCCACCAAUUCCGGACACAGGGAUAGAGCAGUGACCAUCUAAGGGCUCUCAGGGCCAGGCCGGGAGCCAGGAAGAGCAGCUGCGUCGGAGCUGGGCAGCUUUUGGGGUCCGUGGGUCACUGUCAACUGGACUUUGCAUCCAGGAAGCGUUGGUUCCUUUUACAGAGUGUCACUGUGAUAGUGGGGUGUGUUCGUGUUUUACACGUUUAAAAUGGUGCUGGAUGCCUGACAGAGCCCUCAUGACUGUUUAACACAUUUUCUUGAAAUCACAAAAUUGACUAUAAAAUGUUCCUCGGAAGUUUUCCAGACUGCGGGCAUCCUGGAACACCGGCCAGUUUUCACCUGUUUCUGGACGUUGUGUCGUGGAGCCGUCUUUCUGUCCCUGAUGAAGUUGCCUGGGCACACCAGAGUGUGGGAGAGUGGACGGCGCGGCCCCUCCUGCACUUGGAGCUGCUCUCAGAUCUUGGGCUGUGACCCCUGUGGGUGACACGAAGUUCAGUGAUUGUCCUCCUUCUGGACUGAGGGACAUCCAUCCACACGCGCCCCCUCCACAGCCCGAUCCCAUCACGUCCUGCUCGUCCAACAUGGGCCUUAGAUCCUGGGGUCUCUGCUGAGUGCCUCCCCUCUGAACGCCCGGCUGGCACUUUCACGGUGAAGCCAGCUGUCAUGGACACCGACGGCAGGUGGCCUUUCUGCGUUGUCUACCGGCUGAUCUUGAAAGUGAAAACGGACAUUGUCUGCCCUGUGGUGACCGUGUUGGGUGAUGGUCCUGGGGUCAGGCCCUGCAUGCACCUUCACCCAGGGAUGGCUUCUUAGCUGACAGCGGCUCUGCCAGGAACCACGAUCACCCUCCAGUUUGCUCUUUGUGCUGAAUUUUAUUGACAUGAAAUUCGCAUGACGCCAACUUUAUCGUUUUAAAGUGAAUGGUUAAACAGAAUGCGGCACUUUCACAGGGCGGCAUGACCCCCACCUCUGUCUGCCUUCAGAACAUUUUCAUCCCCCACGAAAGGAGGAAGCGCAGUCCCCAGGAACAGUUACUCCUCAUUUCCCCUCCCCAGCUCUGGCUUCCGCAACCACGAAUCUGCUUUCUGUCUCCGUGAAUUUGCCUCUUUCGGAUAUAUUUCACGUAAAUGGAGUCCCGUGAUAGAUGAGCUGUGUCUGCCUCUUGCGGGCAGCACAGUGUCUGGAAGGUUCUCCGUGCAGCCGCAGGGGUUGGCGCUUCCUUCCUCCCGAGGCUGACCCGGCCCCGUCGUACGGGGAGUCCACUGUGUGUCUGUCUUUUGGCUGCUGUGAGCCUGGGUGUGCCGCCUGCUCCAGCCCAUGUUUUCAGCUCUUUCAGGUGUGGAGGGAGGAGUGGAAUUGUGGGAUCAUAUUGUAACUUUAACUUUGGAAGGAUCUGCCAAAUUACCCCUCUAAUUUGUUUUCAAUUUUAUUCUUAUUUCCCUGUCACUUGUUCUUUCUUUUGACUGGUUAAAAAAAAUGGCAAAGGUCUUCAGCAAAACAAGAAGUGAGUUUCAAUUGAACCGUGAAUUAAAUAUGAUACACUCAAAAUCUGACCAAUAAUACAUUUUAAUUUUCCCCACACAUUUACGUCCACGUUAAUUUCAUGGAAAUCAAGAUGCUUUUGCCUCUGUUCUAAAGUAUUUAUUUUUUUUAAGACAGGUUCUUACUCUGUUGCCCAGGCUGGAGUGCAAUGGCGCGAUCUCAGCUCACUGCAGUCUUGACCUCCCAGGCUCAAGCAAUCCUCCUGCCUCAGCCUCCUGAGUAGCUGGGACCACAGGUGUGCAUCACCAUGCCUGGCUAAUUUGUUACAUUUUUAGUAGAGACGGGGUUUCACCAUGUUGGCCAGGCUGGUCUGGAACUCCUGACCUGAAGCGAUCCUCCCACCUCAGCCUCCCACAGUGCUGGGAUUACAGGCGUGAGCCACCACGUGCAGCCUGAAAGUAUUUUUUUUUAGAGUUUCCUAAAAGUUUCAUCAUCCCUUUUGUUUUCCUAACAAGCUGUGAAACCCAGUGGGUUUUAAUUGUGAAUCAGCACCAAAACACAUGCAGAUUUAAUUUUUAAUUGAAAUGAUGGACAAUAAACAGAAUUAAUAACUCAAAUGCUUGAAGUCUGUCAAGCAUGGUGCUUUGUCUUUGCCAUGGACAUGAAAAAGCAGCAUUCCCCUCCGGACUUGAGGCUGGGGACCUUCUGAGUCAGAGCAGCCCCUCCCUCCCCACCUCCACGGCUGUUUCCACUUUGCCAUCUCCCCAGCGGGCUCUGCCCGUCCACCUGUGAGACACUCUGACUCCACGGCUUGGCUUCUGCUUGCCCCAGGCAGUGGGAUUCGGUGGCCAGGCCCUCAUUUGUUUCCCCCUCCUCCUUUCCCCAGCAGCUCCUGGCCUGGCAUGCAGCAGGUGCUCUGCUGGGCGAGUGGGAGGAGGGAGCAUAGCCACCGCUGCAGGUGGUCUGUUUGGUGCUGGGAGACGUCAUGCGUGUGUUGUCAGGCACUGGAACCCCCUGGGAGGGUGCAGGGCAGGUUUAGGACAGCCACGUGUGCCCAGAUCUAUGAGACCUUUGUGGGCUCGACUGAGUUGGGGGCUGGGCACAGAGCUUGGAGACCUCUUACUGGGAGCUGUGUGAGUGGCAGGGCCAAGGCUGUGGGGGCUGCAGGAGCUGGUGAGGAGGCAUGUGCUCGGCCGUCAUGGGACUGUCCCUGGGACUCCUGCAGCUGGGGUAGGCUCCAGGCAGGGCUCUGAGCUGCCCCCACACACCUCCAUGCAACCCCAGCUCCAUGUGCUGCUGGAAAGUCCCUGAGUACCAGGGGGGCACCUGGGGAGGGGCCUGAGUCCUGCAGACAGACCUGGGAUGGGGGUGUCAUCCACAGGUGAGGAGUGGUCCGUGCCAGGGACAGGCAGAGCCGCCAGCAUGGGCCCUGCUGGGAUCUCCGAUUGGGAAAACCAUCCCGCCACGGGAGGUGGCCAAGGUGCGUCCCCCAGCCUAUGCAUUGGGGUCCUGGUUCCAUCCCCGCCUCUCCUGUGGGCCGCACUCAGUGCCUUUUCCAUGUAACCCGUGCCGUGUGCGGUGCUCAGAGGAGGAGCGAUCGUCAUGGGGAGCUGCAGUGCCUUUUCCAUGUAACCCGCGCCGUGUGCGGGGCUCCGAGGAGGAGAGGACGUCACGGGGAGCUGCGGUGCCUUUUCCAUGUAACCCGCGCCGUGUGCGGGGCUCGGAGGAGGAGCGGUCAUCACGGGGAGCUGCAGCGCGUCUGGUGAUGUGGGGCUCACAGGCUCCUAAUGAGGCUCUCAGUCUUGUUUAUUGCGUUCUUGCUGGAAGAUUUUUUUUCUGAAACGUAGGCACAGAAUGAACUUGAAAUAUUGAGCUCUGCUUGAAAUAAAAAUGUCUUGAUAAUUAGAACCUUUGCCUGAACAGAUUCCUGUGGGGCUGCGCUGUGCAGGCUGGUUACGGGUGGGGCUCUGCUGCCCACCGAGUCAUUGCUCAAAGGCAAACGGGUCAAGCCACCGAG
rnacentral:lncRNA from 10 species